rnacentral:rRNA from 1 species
UACGUAGGGUGCGAGCGUUGUCCGGAAUUACUGGGCGUAAAGAGCUCGUAGGCGGUUUGUCGCGUCGUCUGUGAAAUUCUGCAACUCAAUUGUAGGCGUGCAGGCGAUACGGGCAGACUUGAGUACUACAGGGGGAGACUGGAAUUCCUGGUGUAGCGGUGAAAAUGCGCAGAUAUCAGGAGGAACACCGGUGGCGAAGGCGGGUCUCUGGGGUAGUAACUGACGCUGAGAAAGCGAAAAGCAUGGGGAGCGAACAGG